rnacentral:rRNA from 1 species
UACGAAGGGGGCUAGCGUUGUUCGGAAUUACUGGGCGUAAAGGGCGCGUAGGCGGCGUGUCAAGUCAGGCGUGAAAGCCCCGGGCUCAACCUGGGAACCGCGCUUGAGACUGGCAUGCUCGAGUUCGGGAGAGGAUGGUGGAAUUCCCAGUGUAGAGGUGAAAUUCGUAGAUAUUGGGAAGAACACCGAUGGCGAAGGCAGCCAUCUGGACCGACACUGACGCUCAGGCACGAAAGCGUGGGGAGCAAACAGG